GACGAACGCUGGCGGCAUGCUUAACACAUGCAAGUCGAACGAGAAUCACUUGAAGGAGACUUUGGUCAACGGAUUGUGAGGACAGUGGCGGACGGGUGAGUAACGCGUGAGGAACCUGCCUUUCAGAGGGGGACAACAGUUGGAAACGACUGCUAAUACCGCAUAAUACUGAGAAGUCAAAGGUUGGUUUACCAAUCGCGUUUAGAUGUGCCUAGGAGGGAUUAGCUAGUUGGUGGGGUAAAGGCCUACCAAGGCGAUGAUCUCUAGCUGGUCUGAGAGGAUGACCAGCCACACUGGAACUGAGACACGGUCCAGACUCCUACGGGAGGCAGCAGUGGGGGAUAUUGGCACAAUGGGGGAAACCCUGAUGCAGCAACGCCGCGUGAGGGAAGAAGGUUUUCGGAUUGUAAACCUCUGUUUUUAGUGAAGAAAAAUGACGGUAGCUAAAGAGGAAGCCACGGCUAACUACGU
rnacentral:rRNA from 1 species